rnacentral:rRNA from 1 species
UUUGUAGGUGGCUUGUUAAGUCAGACGUGAAAUCCCUCAGCUUAACUGGGGAACUGCGUCUGAUACUGAUGAGCUUGAGUGUAGGAGAGGAACGCGGAAUUCCAGGUGUAGCGGUGAAAUGCGUAGAUAUCUGGAGGAACACCGGUGGCGAAGGCGGCGUUCUGGACUGCAACUGACACUGAAAAACGAAGCCAGGGGAGCAAACG